rnacentral:rRNA from 1 species
CCCCUAGAUGUUCUGGGCCGCACGCGCGCUACACUGAACAGUUCAACAAGUCUUAACCUUGGCCGAUAGGUCUGGGUAAUCUUUGAACGCUGUUCGUGAUUGGGAUAGACCUUUGCAAUUAUGGGUCUUCAACGAGGAAUUCCUAGUAAACGCAAGUCAUCAGCUUGCAUUGAUUACGUCCCUGCCCUUUUUACACACCGCCCGUCGCACCUACCGAUUGAAUGGUCCGGUGAAAUCUCGGGACGGCGGCUUGGUCGCUUGCGUCCGACUGCUGAAACUUGAUUAAACCAUAUCAUUUAGAGGAAGGUGAAGUCGUANCA